UACAGAGGGGGCAAGCGUUGUUCGGAAUUACUGGGCGUAAAGGGCGCGUAGGCGGCCGCCUAAGUCAGACGUGAAAUCCCUCGGCUCAACCGGGGAACUGCGUCUGAUACUGGGUGGCUUGAAUCCGGGAGAGGGAUGCGGAAUUCCAAGGUGUAGCGGUGAAAUGCGUAGAUAUCAGGAGGAACACCGGUGGCGAAGGCGGAUCUCUGGGCCAUUACUGACGCUGAGGAGCGAAAGCGUGGGUAGCAAACAGG
rnacentral:rRNA from 1 species